GUAGGGUGCGAGCGUUAAUCGGAAUUACUGGGCGUAAAGGGUGCGCAGGCGGCGUCGCAAGUCAGGCGUGAAAUCCCCGGGCUUAACCUGGGAACUGCACUUGAAACUACGAUGCUGGAGUAUGGCAGAGGGAGGUGGAAUUCCACGUGUAGCGGUGAAAUGCGUAGAGAUGUGGAGGAACACCGAUGGCGAAGGCAGCCUCCUGGGCCAAUACUGACGCUCAUGCACGAAAGCGUGGGGAGCAAACAGGAUUAGAUACCCUGGUAGUCCACGCCCUAAACGAUGAUGACUAGUUGUUGGAGGAGUUAAAUCCUUUAGUAACGCAGCUAACGCGAGAAGUCAUCCGCCUGGGGAGUACGGUCGCAAGAUUA
rnacentral:rRNA from 1 species